rnacentral:lncRNA from 1 species
AUAUAUAUCCUAUCCAUUUAAUUUCAGGUCGGGUCCGGAUCUGGAUACUUAAGUUGCUAAUAUACCCAUCGAGUCUAUUUAUACGGGUCUGAAUAGUGACUAUCCGUAUACUACCCUUUCAAAACCGGAUAUGGAUCGAGUUUAGAUCGGAUACGGAUAUCCGUAUAAAUAUAUUUUUUUAUAGACUUUAUUAUAUAGUUUAUGCACAAACUAUAAAACACCCCAUAAAAAAUGCACGUUCUAAUAAAUUGUACAUCC